rnacentral:rRNA from 1 species
UACGUAGGGGGCAAGCGUUGUCCGGAAUUAUUGGGCGAAAAGCGCGCGCAGGCGGCCAUUUAAGUCUGGUGUAUAAUCCCGGGGCUCAACCCCGGGUCGCACGGGAAACUGGGUGGCUGGAGUGCAGAAGAGGAGAGUGGAAUUCCACGUGUAGCGGUGAAAUGCGUAGAUAUGUGGAGGAACACCAGUGGCGAAGGCGACUCUCUGGGCUGUAACUGACGCUGUGGCGCGAAAGCGUCGGGAGCAAACAGG